AGGGUGUUUUUUUAUUUUGUAGUCAUGUCUUGGAAGAACACUAGAGUGCACAUCUCCAAAUCUGUUUGUAAUGAUGGAGGACACCGAAGAACACUUGAGAAAUCUCAGGAUAAAAUUCAAUUGUGCAAGUGUUAUUCCCACAGACCAUUACAGUUACCAAGAGGGCAAUUACUACCAAGCAAAAGGUCUCAUCAGGUUCAGGGAGAAUCUGCAGACAAAUGGAGGACUCAAUCCGAGCCUACAUAACUUCAAGGCCCAGGGAUGUUCACUGAUGUCAAUGGCUUGAGAUGCCCCCACAAGCAAUUACUAAAGUUUAAUGCAGCAAAAAACAAAAACAAACAAACAAAAAAAAAACACCAUUAAAUGCACCUCAGGAGAUGAAUUUUAUUAACUAUUUUUAUCUUAAAUAAAUGUAAAUCAAAUAAAA